UUGAUUUAGCGUCCACGGCCCUACUCGGCCCUAGCCCCGUGCUACCCAGCCUCCUCUCGACACACUUUCACUAAUAAAACGGCACGUACCAUUUUAAUGUUUUAAUGAUUAUCGUGUCCAUAAUUGCAGGCAGGAUUUUUGAAAAGGGCAAAGACUUUAACUUCAUACUAGAGCGCCCGAAUCGACGCACGAUUUACACAGCCGCUAAGCAAUAUUGAGGAGACAAAACUAGUGAGUGCACGCCGUAUGUCGCCGAAAAUGGCCGCCGUCAGAGUUAAGUUAGCUGCGCUGCACCGUCCGCGUCGUCAAUCUUUUUGUAUGUACCCACCCUAGCGCUCGGCCCAGACAUAGAUAUAAAUUUCAAAAAGACUGCUGAGUUACUCUGAUGUUCUACUUCUUGUAUUAUGUCUAUACCAUCUAAAAGGACGAUGACAUUUACGAAAUCGUAGCUCGAGCGCCUAGCAACUGACUAGCAUGAAACUUUGCUGUUAACGAGACAUGAAGCAUUUAUAGGAAAAACCAAAUAGUUAAGGAGAUUCCCAUCAGUGGAUAAGCUGCCACAAAGCGCGUGGCGCCCAUACCGUCUUAAGCCGCCGCGCGUUUCCGACGCCAAUUUCAACGGGCUCGUGUUACAAUAGAAUUUAUUGCUUGUGAAGUGUUUCGGCUUGUUUAUAAAAACGAACGUCAAUG